ACCCGACGAGCUGAACUUUGUUGGCUUAAUGUCGUCAACUCACUUUUUGUUUAUCACUGGUUACCCACAAUGCACCUGACAGGAAGUGCUGCUUUUCAGUCGGCGCGCGGCUGGAGGUAAACAAGCAGCCGGCAUGGCACGUUGAGUACAGCCACACUUUUCAUUCGCAGGCAAAUCUAGCGACCCGGUGUCCGUUUGUACACACUGAUGACAGUUUUGCCAUGAAAGUGACGGCACCCAACGCAGCAAUAACGUCAACUGAGGCUGUCAGUGCGCAGGGAGCAGACUUUUUAACCAACAUGUGUUUCUCCGUCGCAUGAUGGAGGGAUCGCACUCGGAAGAGCUGUAUCGAAAUCCCCACCUUCUCUCCCUGAGUGGAAAGAUAAUCGUAUUUAACCACACACCGGCGUCAUGCGCCAAAGACGGCGACAGAGGUGAGUCAAUUAGCCACGGCCAUGCCUCGUUUGAACGGGCGAGCUGCAGGUUCCUGAAGGCGGCGCCCCGGGCAGUUGCCAUCGGCGGCAUGAAAACAUCCGCUCACGUGGACAUCAGAUGUAAAUGUGCCGUGGACGUUCAGAGGAGAGUCACCACGCCGUGCGUCCUAGUGACGCGGAGGAGUGAGAAGGGAGCCAGCUUCCGGUACAGUCUGCUCACACUGAGCCGCUCCAACCGACUGGAGCCCUGCUUUGAGUUCACACUGCCGUAUGAAAUGAAGGGCUCCGUCCUCCGCGGCCCCACGGUGCUGUGGAGUCAUGCUGGCCAUGUCUUCUACACAUCUCUGCAGGCAGGAGAGGUGAGGCAGAGGCAGAUCCCCCUCCCGUUGUCCCACUGUGUCUUUGGAGAGCUGCCCCUCCACAGAGGACAGGUGUUUGUUCUUGGCCUGCACAAUGAAUGCGAGGAUCAGACCACAAGCCGAGUACUGGGCUACAUGGUUGAGAGUGGACAAGCCUUCGACGGCUCUGUGGUUUUACCUCUCCCCUACGUUGGCAUCACACGGUGCAUGUUGGUGCUCUCAGCUGACAAAGAGGACGGUGCGCUGAAAGUCGCUGCGGUCGCAGCGACCUCGCAUCAGCAACUCGUCUAUUUCCAGAAUGGAAAUGUAAAAGACACGUGCCCGCUCCCCUUCCAGUUGCCUGAAGACAUUCAGUUGGCCAACACUGGAAGGAAUGGCUUCCUGUUUGUCAUAUCCUUUCACCAGGGGCAUGUUUGUGCCGUAUGGAAGGAAACAUUUCAGAUAGCCUCCUGCUGGUCAGGUGUCAGCUCCGUCCACGUGGAUGACUUCCUGGGAUGUGGAACAGACCAGAUCCUGUUGUUUUUUAGGGAUGGAGGUGUAAAAGGGCUGCCACUGGAUCACUUCCUUAUCACUGACCUCUGUGGUAUUUCAUAUUCUCACGGACAGGAUACUGCAGCACCCAAGCAAACUUCUCCCCUGCCAGAGAACAACCUUCUCACUCUUCAAGCCUUGGAGUCCAGACUACAGAGUGGACUGACCGUGCUUCAGGAGCUUCAGAGAGAAGUGAGAGUGAAGGACCGAGUUGUACAGCAGUCGGUCCAAGCACUCAAUGAUGUUUCCUCGGGGAGAGAACUUGUUCUCACACCGCCUGAGCAGGAAGGCCUCAGCGCUCUGUGGGACUCUGAUGAUGAGUCGAACGAUGAGGCCUCGGAUGACAAGACGCAAGACAUGCCGGCAGUGUCUUCGAAUCCUCAAAUUGACAAGCUGUGGCAUCGCAUCGCAGAGGACCGAAUAGUUGUGGGAGUGAUACUGAUGAUCGACAGCUCUGUACCAGUGGCCAGUGUGAGCUUAUCCAUCCUGACAGAGACGGGCCAGAGCUCAACGCCCGCGGUCAUCCAGACCCAGAGCCAAGUGUUGUGGCUCCCCACACCCUGCCCGUCAUCCUCCUCCUCUGCCUCCACCUUACCAGAGCCCGCAGCCAAAAGGUGCAGGCAGCGCAUCGCCAGCACACCCAAUGAUCUCAACACAUGCAGAAUGGCUGUGACUGCCGUGUCCAGGCUGACUCCUCUGUUGAACUCUGGCUGUGUCAAGUGCCGCGUCAUGCUCCAUUACGUCCAGAGACAAGAUGCUUUUUCUCUCCUGAGCAGCCCAACACCGGUUGUCCUGCACUGUGGUCAAGUUGCUGUAGACAUCCGCAGCGAUUUCCAAACCCAAUUGCUGAAAAACCCCAAACUUAAAACAGAUGAGGUUAAAGAGGACUUGCUGUGUUUGUUGACUGUGCUGGAUCGCUGGGUCUUCCACAUAGACUCUCCUGACCACAGCUUAGGAGACAUAGAUGGCUGGAUUCAGAAAAUAGUGGGUUGUAAAAGGGUAGACGUGAGCCCUCAGUAUCUACUUUUCGAUUCCGCUGGACCAUCUGCUCUCAUCCUGCUAGGCUGGCGUCAGAUAACUCCUUUCCAGGGGGAACUAUCUGUCCACUCCAGCCAGUUACAGAUGCUUAAGUUCCUGGACUCUCUCUUGGCGUACCUGCCCGUGUCCUGCUCUGUCCAGCCUGUCAAAGAUAAAAACCUCCCCUCAGUCACUCACCUCUGUCCCUGCUAGCGACGAAGAAGAAUUGUGAAUCCUGUACAGUAAAUAACACCAGUAAAUGGCCUGUGGCGAAGCACUGUAGAUCACAGGUGAAAGAUGAAUCUCUAUCGGUGUUCCCUCAGAGCCCCCGACUGCCACCCAGAGUAGAAUAUAUGUUUUGUCGUCCCAUUAUUGCCUGUGAAGUUCUAUUAACUCUGAGUGGUGGAAGUAAGCCGCAGGGUCUCUGCCCUCUGCUGAAGCCCCCUCACCUUGAUGGACAGUGACAGCGUGAUAGAUUAAUAACGAUGUUGUUCUGAAACAUCUCAGACAUGUAAAAAACUCCACCUCAUCUCACCUGUCAAUAUGAUUUUUAGGAAAAUUGACAUCGGGCAGAUUUCUUGUGUACACAUUUGUGGAUGCCAGCUGUCAACAUAUCACUAAAGUAUGGAAGCUUAUUUCUGCCGUUUUUUAUUAAAUAUAACAUAAGGUAUUUGGUAUAAUGUUGGAGAUAAAAACUCAGCAUUUUGUGCCUUUUCUUAACUUAAGUUAAAUUUAGUGGUAUUCUAAAUAGGUUGACCCUUUUGUUUGCAAUUGAAUCACCGCUUGUGUCUUUGAUAAUAUGUCAUUAAUUUGAGUCAUACUGAGCCAUGUUUGUAUUGAUUCUGUAUAUGAUGGUCUGGUCUCAGCCUGCAGUUGACUGAUAUUAAUUGGGGUUAGAGGGUUUCCUCUCCUCUGGACUCUGGAACUCAGUGGGUCAACCAAACAGAGGAGGACAUUGAUUAUAUCUACAACAUAAUGUAGUGUACAGACCACAUGCAAUACAGCCAUAAACAUAAUUCUAUAUACCCAGACCCCCUCCAUGUGAUGCAACCCUGGUUCAAAGAGAGAAAGUCCUUAUCCCUAUUUAAAUUAUUCAACUUGGAUUGUAUCUUUUGCAUAAAAGGGCAUAAUACUGCACAAAACAGUACACACAAAUUCAUUAUUCCUAUUAGAAAUGCUUGGCUUCUAAGGUUUAACCAGAUUUUACCAUGUCGAUGCUCAACAUAAAGUCCACUCACUUUGUUUCAUAAGCUUUCAACCGCAUCCGACUUCCAUCUGCAGAUAGUUCAGCUCAGUUGUCAUGGAGAUGGUUUAGUUGCACCGAAGUUGUGGUUUUCAGAUGCUGCCUCGUUUCAAAAAUGGCCUCUGAGGUUUUAUUAACCCAUGUAGCAUACAGUUCUUAGUGUGACUUCAUAGACACAUGAGGCUUCCCUGACCUCUUUACAAACACAUGGUGCCUGUUGUGUAGUUUGAAAAACAUUGUGGAAGCAUAAUCAUCAAAUUAUAACCCACAGAAGAAAUUCAUUUUUGAUGAAGUGCAAUAUUUAUGUUAAAAAUGCCAAAACCAUACACCAGUGUUCUUAACUUCAUUAAUGUUCCUGCUUUUCCAGUCACAUCGGCCCUAUCAACUGCCUCCAGUUGCUAUGGCAACCCUGAUUUCUCUCAGUCCCCUCGAAGCAGCCUCCCCAAACCUUAAUGAAUGGGGGCGGAGGAACUCUUUCUGUUGCCUGGAGACAAAAUUGACCCCGGCAUAUUCUAGCAGUGCAGCAAAUACAAAGAGCAGACACACAGCCAUCCAGAUGUCGAUGGCUUUCACGUAAGAAACCUGGGGGAGAAAAACAGAGUUCCCUUUGUCAGAUCAACCCAAGGUAACAACAUCUCCUGCUCAAAUGUAAUAGAAAUUUGUGCUUUGACUUGAAAUGCUGUAUUAUUUUUUUUUAACCUUUCUGAAUUAUUUUUGAAUCCUAGAUCUGUUAGAUCCACCAGGUGACCUGCACUUAAUUAUUCUUCCUGUUUCCUCCCCUUUAUUUUGCUCAUUAUAUCAGUUAACUGUGACUGCUACACGACUAUAAUUAGAGGGGGCGUCAGGGCUGCCGGCCAUGUCAGCGAUUGCACGGCCAUCAACAGAAGGAAAUAAUUGCUGCUUUAAUUGCCUCUAGAAAGAGAAGUGUGGCAUUAGUUUGUACCUUGAGCACUGGUUUUGAUCUGUUUCCUUUUGAGAAAGUGAGGAUGAAGUUGAAAGCAGUUGCUCUACUCCUCGGUGUGACCUCGCAUCUCCGUGACAGCUGAUUAGCAUGUGGAGAAAACAGCUCAGCUUUUUGAGGAGCUUUUAAAGGCCUAUCGAGUUAUUGUUUUCCCCCGAAUCGAGGUGCUCGCAGGAUGCUCUUUAAAUAUUUAUCAGCGUAUACGUGUCUUCUAUGUGCGAAAUCUCUGUCGUGGCUGAGGCCUUAGUUCUGAUGCGCAGAGAGUGACUGAUCAAUCGAGAUCGGACUCUCGGUGCCUGUAGUGCCCUUCAGGAGAUAUGUGCAUAGCAAUUUGCCCUGAUUGGAAAUAAGGGGAGCGCGCAGACUGCCGCCGCGGAUGGUAAUGUAUACAUUCUUCAGACGAAAGCAAAUUCAUUGUGUGACAGAAAUGGCGGAUGCUGUGAAUUACAUCAAUCAGGGGAAAAGAGACGGCCGGUCGAGGCGUUGUUAUCCUCUGCAUUACAAUGGCUUUCACACAUAUAGUGUGUGAAUGAGGUAAACUGUGUCUGAUGGAAGGUAAGUCAACAGUUUAAGUAUCUUUUCGCGGUUUUGAUUUGUUUGUGGUUUAGGAUGAGAUUUUGUCUACUUGUUUGUCUUUAUGCUUACCUGAGAUAUGAAUCUGUCCUCUGACUAAUACAACACGUAAAUAUUGCUGCUUGGCUUAUGCAAUUGGAGAGAGUACCACAUACGUCCUAUUCUAGCUCUGAUAGAAAUUUCACAGGUACAUCGAUUACGCAUGUUUCAGAGUACCCCUGGGUAUUUAUGUCCCAAUGGCUACAUAUAUUAAGCAUAAACCCCCUGACUCCAAUAAACUAUGAUCAGAUGCCUUCCUUAAUCUCACAGUUUGAGUUCUCGGUGUUAGAAUCUUUAGCUGCAUAAUGCUAACCCCAACCAAAGUCACAGAAACGGAUUUAAACUUUAUCCUAGCUACUUUAAAUUUUUUAGCCUAUGUCAAAUAAUGUAAUAUGAUCUGGCCAAGAUGUUUUGAUUAAUGCCAAAACUUUACACACUUCAAAUUCCAAUUGGUAAUAAAUCAGUGAUAUUAAAAAUGGUUUGCAAGAACCUUUAACUUUAGCUACGUAACAUCUGACUUACCUAACACGAUUUGAAUCUGUAUAACAAUACGUAAACAUAUACCAUAUAAUACCUGCUGUGCCUGCAUGCGUUUAUUUCAGUCUUGUUUCAACAUGUUUUUACCAGAGGAGGCUGAGGUUUACCUUUGGAAGAGAAGCUCUGGAGCCGGAGCUUUGCGUGGUCAUGGUAAGCACAGUGGUGAUGCCCAGUGCCACUCUGGCAGGAGCCGCGUCCAUAUUGAUCCAAAAAGACACCCAGGACAGGAUGACGAUCAGGAGGGAGGGGAUGUACAUCUGGAUCAGGUAGUAGCCCAUCUGGCGCUCCAGGUGGAAUUUCACUUCAAUACAGGUGAAUUUUCCUGUUUAACACAAACACACCACAUGAGAAUUUUGGCUGUAUGAAAUAUAAACUAGGG